ACUAAAAUACUAAGAAAUACUACAAUACUUCCUCCCAGUAACAAUACUCUUUCAUCAACUGAUAACCACAGUGUGCAACCCUGUACUCUCAAAAGACUGCUCAAAAUUCAAUAAAUUCCAUGCAAUAAUAAGAAUAAUAGACUUCAUUCCAACCAAUUUGAAUUCACAGAAUUCCUAUAAUCACAGACUUCCUCUGUCGAAACACAUACACAUAACUCUCAAUAAACAACAAUCAUAAUCUUCCAUCCAUAAUCAAUCUUCCAAUAAUUUUUCAUAUAAUUCAAUCACUCAAUACUCCAAUUAUAUAAUCAAUAACUCAUAAAUCAAUCUCUGAUUUAUUCCACAGACUCACUUCUCAGUAUUCACAAACUAUCCAUUAUUCUUCAACAACAAAGAAAACAAAAGAAACAAAGAGGAAGCACUAAGCUUAACUCAAGCUCAUGACUAUCACAGUUUGGCAUUUUCUUCUUCUCUCCCAUCCUCUUUAUACUACCAUGAGAUACCAACUCCUAUACUAUAGAUGAUAACUACUUUUGCUGACUAUUCAUCCAUUCUACCUGUUAAACCACCAUUUCAAUAGUCAUCUAUCCUUGUUUACACUUUACACUAGGUAUUUAUAUUCUGAAAAUAACUACUUAAUCUACAAUGACCAAUAAUCAAUAAUAGUAACUAAUAAUUAUUAGAGGUAAUCAAUAAUUAAUAACAAUAAUUAAUAAUCAUUAGCGGUAACCAAAAAUCAAUAGCAGUAACCAAUAUCUGGUAGCAAUAACCAAUUUUUAGUAGCAAAAAUCAAUAUUCAGUAGCAUGAACUAAUAUCUAGUAGCAAUAAU
rnacentral:lncRNA from 1 species